GGGUUGUGAGGUUAAGCGACUAAGCGUACACGGUGGAUGCCCUGGCAGUCAGAGGCGAUGAAGGACGUGCUAAUCUGCGAUAAGCGUCGGUGAGGUGAUAUGAACCGUUAUAACCGGCGAUUUCCGAAUGGGGAAACCCAGUGUGUUUCGACACACUAUCAUUAACUGAAUCCAUAGGUUAAUGAGGCGAACCGGGGGAACUGAAACAUCUAAGUACCCCGAGGAAAAGAAAUCAACCGAGAUUCCCCCAGUAGCGGCGAGCGAACGGGGAGGAGCCCAGAGCCUGAAUCAGUGUGUGUGUUAGUGGAAGCGUCUGGAAAGGCGCGCGAUACAGGGUGACAGCCCCGUACACAAAAAUGCACAUAUUGUGAGCUCGAUGAGUAGGGCGGGACACGUGGUAUCCUGUCUGAAUAUGGGGGGACCAUCCUCCAAGGCUAAAUACUCCUGACUGACCGAUAGUGAACCAGUACCGUGAGGGAAAGGCGAAAAGAACCCCGGCGAGGGGAGUGAAAAAGAACCUGAAACCGUGUACGUACAAGCAGUGGGAGCCUCUUAAUGGGGUGACUGCGUACCUUUUGUAUAAUGGGUCAGCGACUUAUAUUCUGUAGCAAGGUUAACCGAAUAGGGGAGCCGAAGGGAAACCGAGUCUUAACUGGGCGUUAAGUUGCAGGGUAUAGACCCGAAACCCGGUGAUCUAGCCAUGGGCAGGUUGAAGGUUGGGUAACACUAACUGGAGGACCGAACCGACUAAUGUUGAAAAAUUAGCGGAUGACUUGUGGCUGGGGGUGAAAGGCCAAUCAAACCGGGAGAUAGCUGGUUCUCCCCGAAAGCUAUUUAGGUAGCGCCUCGUGAAUUCAUCUCCGGGGGUAGAGCACUGUUUCGGCAAGGGGGUCAUCCCGACUUACCAACCCGAUGCAAACUGCGAAUACCGGAGAAUGUUAUCACGGGAGACACACGGCGGGUGCUAACGUCCGUCGUGAAGAGGGAAACAACCCAGACCGCCAGCUAAGGUCCCAAAGUCAUGGUUAAGUGGGAAACGAUGUGGGAAGGCCCAGACAGCCAGGAUGUUGGCUUAGAAGCAGCCAUCAUUUAAAGAAAGCGUAAUAGCUCACUGGUCGAGUCGGCCUGCGCGGAAGAUGUAACGGGGCUAAACCAUGCACCGAAGCUGCGGCAGCGACACUAUGUGUUGUUGGGUAGGGGAGCGUUCUGUAAGCCUGUGAAGGUGUACUGUGAGGUAUGCUGGAGGUAUCAGAAGUGCGAAUGCUGACAUAAGUAACGAUAAAGCGGGUGAAAAGCCCGCUCGCCGGAAGACCAAGGGUUCCUGUCCAACGUUAAUCGGGGCAGGGUGAGUCGACCCCUAAGGCGAGGCCGAAAGGCGUAGUCGAUGGGAAACAGGUUAAUAUUCCUGUACUUGGUGUUACUGCGAAGGGGGGACGGAGAAGGCUAUGUUGGCCGGGCGACGGUUGUCCCGGUUUAAGCGUGUAGGCUGGUUUUCCAGGCAAAUCCGGAAAAUCAAGGCUGAGGCGUGAUGACGAGGCACUACGGUGCUGAAGCGACAAAUGCCCUGCUUCCAGGAAAAGCCUCUAAGCAUCAGGUAACAUCAAAUCGUACCCCAAACCGACACAGGUGGUCAGGUAGAGAAUACCAAGGCGCUUGAGAGAACUCGGGUGAAGGAACUAGGCAAAAUGGUGCCGUAACUUCGGGAGAAGGCACGCUGAUAUGUAGGUGAAGCGACUUGCUCGUGGAGCUGAAAUCAGUCGAAGAUACCAGCUGGCUGCAACUGUUUAUUAAAAACACAGCACUGUGCAAACACGAAAGUGGACGUAUACGGUGUGACGCCUGCCCGGUGCCGGAAGGUUAAUUGAUGGGGUUAGCGGUAACGCGAAGCUCUUGAUCGAAGCCCCGGUAAACGGCGGCCGUAACUAUAACGGUCCUAAGGUAGCGAAAUUCCUUGUCGGGUAAGUUCCGACCUGCACGAAUGGCGUAAUGAUGGCCAGGCUGUCUCCACCCGAGACUCAGUGAAAUUGAACUCGCUGUGAAGAUGCAGUGUACCCGCGGCAAGACGGAAAGACCCCGUGAACCUUUACUAUAGCUUGACACUGAACAUUGAGCCUUGAUGUGUAGGAUAGGUGGGAGGCUUUGAAGUGUGGACGCCAGUCUGCAUGGAGCCGACCUUGAAAUACCACCCUUUAAUGUUUGAUGUUCUAACGUGGGCCCCUUACCGGGGUUGCGGACAGUGUCUGGUGGGUAGUUUGACUGGGGCGGUCUCCUCCUAAAGAGUAACGGAGGAGCACGAAGGUUGGCUAAUCCUGGUCGGACAUCAGGAGGUUAGUGCAAUGGCAUAAGCCAGCUUGACUGCGAGCGUGACGGCGCGAGCAGGUGCGAAAGCAGGUCAUAGUGAUCCGGUGGUUCUGAAUGGAAGGGCCAUCGCUCAACGGAUAAAAGGUACUCCGGGGAUAACAGGCUGAUACCGCCCAAGAGUUCAUAUCGACGGCGGUGUUUGGCACCUCGAUGUCGGCUCAUCACAUCCUGGGGCUGAAGUAGGUCCCAAGGGUAUGGCUGUUCGCCAUUUAAAGUGGUACGCGAGCUGGGUUUAGAACGUCGUGAGACAGUUCGGUCCCUAUCUGCCGUGGGCGCUGGAGA
rnacentral:rRNA from 1 species